rfam:Parcubacteria bacterium GW2011_GWA2_31_28 TR15_C0012, whole genome shotgun sequence.
GCGCACGUGGCACAAUGGUACUGCGGUCGGUUGCAGCCCGGCUUUUCCCAGGUUCGAUUCCUGGCGUGCGCU